AGCCCCAUUCCUCUUAUAAUAAAACAUCUUCGUCAUUACCAGUUUCGGAAACGUAAUAGUGUGUUUUCAACUUUUCGAUCAUCUCUUCUUUUAUUGUUUGCCGUUUCUGUUUAAAGAAGUAUCAAGGUCCUAAUUCUAUUUACAAACAUUUGAUUACAAACGAAACAAGCCAGGGGCUUAAAUGGAGCCCUAAAGCUUGCAAAGAUGAUGACAGACCGGGGCUUGGAGGAAUGAUAAAUAUUAUGGCAGUUUUCGGAGAAUGCUUGAAUGCAUUCUGUCGAAGCCGGAAUGUUGCCCAGCCUUCAAUCCAACAACUCAUUGGAUUAAUCCAAGUGAGUCGGAAAGCAAGGGCAGCUGACUUCAGGAAGGAACGUAAUAUAUCAGCGACGAACCGGAAAACGUCGGAAUCGUCUUCCAGUUUUAGCAUUGAUGGAGUGGAACUCGAAAUGGGGAUUUCUGCCGCCAUAGACCACCAGAUAUCUGUUUUCGAGAGGGCGGUCGUUGCCUUUAAAAUUCCUGUGCGCCUAGGGCCGGGUGUGAUGCCGAACAUAACAAACCAAGGCGCCUUUUAAAUUGCUUCUGUGGUUAUUUCUGCCUUGCUUGUUGUUUCUGCCUUUUUGCUGUUUCAGCCUUUUUUGUGUUUUGUCGUUAAUUUGUUCCUAUACUGUUAAUACUGAUAAAAACAAAGACAUCUCUACACAUUUAUGUGAACUAGUCCUUAUCUUGUGAUUUGCAUAAUAAAAUUUUGACAAAUGCAAGAAA